GAUGAACGCUGGCGGCGUGCCUAAUACAUGCAAGUCGAGCGAACAGAUGAGGAGCUUGCUCCUCUGACGUUAGCGGCGGACGGGUGAGUAACACGUGGAUAACCUACCUAUAAGACUGGGAUAACUUCGGGAAACCGGAGCUAAUACCGGAUAAUAUAUUGAACCGCAUUGUUCAAUAGUGAAAGACGGUUUUGCUGUCACUUAUAGAUGGAUCCGCGCCGCAUUAGCUAGUUGGUAAGGUAACGGCUUACCAAGGCAACGAGGCGUAGCCGACCUGAGAGGGUGAUCGGCCACCCUGGAACUGAGACACGGUCCAGACUACUACGGGAGGCAGCAGUAGGGAAUCUUCCGCAAAGGGCGAAAGCCUGACGGAGCAACGCCGCGUGAGUGAUGAAGGUCUUCGGAUCGUAAAACUCUGUUAUUAGUGAAGAACAAAUGUGUAAGUAACUAUGCACGUCUUGACGGUACCUAAUCAGAAAGCCACGGCUAACUACGUG
rnacentral:rRNA from 1 species